rfam:Bacillus cereus Rock3-44 chromosome, whole genome shotgun sequence.
UUUGAUAAUAUGUGAAUUUUUAUUUUCGUUGAAAUAAGACGGAUCAUAUUGUAAUUUAUUUUUCUUAUUUUUAGGAGGCAUUUACCAUGACAUUAACAGGUAAAGUAAAAUGGUUUAACAGCGAAAAAGGUUUCGGUUUCAUCGAAGUUGAAGACGGUAACGAUGUAUUCGUUCACUUCUCUGCUAUCACUGGCGACGGUUUCAAAUCUCUUGACGAAGGUCAAGAAGUUAGCUUCGAAGUUGAAGACGGCAACCGCGGACCUCAAGCUAAAAACGUUGUAAAGCUAUAAUUUAAACAAUAAAAAGGUUGUUACCAUCGCACGGUUAACAACCUUUUU